UAAUCAUUUUGACAAUGUGAGCUCGACUAGUUUUCCCUUUAGCUUUGGCAAUGAUCCAGUGAAUAAACUGCUCCCAGUUCUGAUAAUUUGGCUGAGUUACUCCAACCCAUAACAUUGUUUGAUGUCUCAGUUGCCUAACAAAGGGACAGGAAAAGAAAAGAUGAUCUCUGUUCUCCAUACCUUGUUGGCAUAAAGAACAAGUGCUAUCCACAGUCAAGUUCCAUUGGCCCAACCUGUCUUUAGUAGGUAAUCUGUCUUGGUUCUCCAUACCUUGCUGGCAUAAAGCACAAGUGCUAUCCACAGUCAAGUUCCAUUGGCCCAACCUGUCUUUAGUAGGCAAUCUGUCUUGCAAUACCAACCAGAGAUUGAAAACUGCCUUGGGUCUGGCAUAGUUUUGGAUAGUUAGAUUCUUCCACAAGACUCUAGGCAAUUGUCCAAUCUGGCAUAGGUACAUCAUCUUUAUAGUACACACUGGUUGAUUCAUCAACUGAGAUUGCUGCAAUGUAACAGUAGCUUCAAUAAUCUUGCUGACCAUCCGGCUGGCUUGGUUAGGAAUAACUAUGGAAUGUAGCUGUUGUUGUUUUAUAUAGACUGCGUGAAUCCACCUUACCCAUAGAGCAUCCUUCUUGUGAGCCAAAUCCCAUCCAAGCUUGGUAAUGCUAAGGUGAGUAAUGCCUAGCUUUUUAUAGCGAGGGUGAAAUAGAAAACCUCUAUCCUUCUUCAAUUCAGCAAGAGCUCUACUUAGAUACUCCAUCACUAUGGCAAAUAGAAAAGGGGAAAUUGGAUCACCUUGUCUCAAGCCUUUAGCUGCUUGAAAGGGUUCAGUAGUUUCCCCAUUCACCAACACUGUAUAGCUGACUGUUUGGACACAUUCCAUGAUCCACUUCAUAAAUCUACCUGGGAAGUCUAAGGCCUCCAUUACCUCCUGUAAGAAGAUCCAUUCAACAGAAUCAUAUGCCUUCUGCAAAUCUAUUUUAAUCAUGCAUCUACGAGAAACAUGAGUUCUUGCAUAGUGUUUAAUUAGUUCAUGGGCUAAUUUAACAUUAUCUGCAAUCCUCCUGCCUGGGAUAAAUCCUGCUUGGGCAUCACAAAUGAUACUGGN
rnacentral:lncRNA from 1 species